GUUUAGCUCAGCUGGUUCAGAGCAUCUGCCUUACAAGCAGAGGGUCGGCGGUUCGAAUCCGUCAACGCCCACAA
rnacentral:tRNA from 1 species